UACGUAGGGGGCAAGCGUUGUCCGGAAUCAUUGGGCGUAAAGAGCGUGUAGGCGGUCCGAUAAGUCCGCUCUGAAAGCCCGGGGCUCAACCCCGGGAGGCGGGCGGAUACUGUCGGGCUAGAGUCCGGAAGAGGCAAGUGGAAUUGCAGGUGUAGCGGUGAAAUGUGUAGAGAUCGGGAGGAACACCGGUGGCGAAGGCGGGUCUCUGGGCAUUUCCUGACGCUGAGGCGCGAAAGCGUGGGGAGCAAACGGG
rnacentral:rRNA from 1 species